rnacentral:tRNA from 1 species
UGGCUCAGAUGGUAAAGCAUCUGCCUGCAGUGCAGGAGACCUGGGUUCAAUCCCUG